CCUGCCGGCGACCGGCGCACGGGUGAGUAACACGUAUGUAACCUGCCCUAUGCAGGGGGAUAACCCGGAGGAAUCCGGCCUAAUACCGCGUAACACCUUUUGGGAGCAUUCCUGGGAGGUUAAAGGAGAGAUCCGGCAUAGGAUGGACAUGCGUCGCAUUAGGUAGACGGCGGGGUAACGGCCCACCGUGCCGACGAUGCGUAGGGGUUCUGAGAGGAAGGCCCCCCACACUGGUACUGAGACACGGACCAGACUCCUACGGAAGGCAGCAG
rnacentral:rRNA from 1 species